rnacentral:rRNA from 1 species
CCGGCAAUUAUUGGGCGUAAAGAGCUCGUAGGCGGUUUGUCGCGUCUGCUGUGAAAUCCCGAGGCUCAACCUCGGGCUUGCAGGGGGUACGGGCAGACUAGAGUGCGGUAGGGGAGAUUGGAAUUCCUGGUGUAGCGGUGGAAUGCGCAGAUAUCAGGAGGAACACCGAUGGCGAAGGCAGAUCUCUGGGCCGUAACUGACGCUGAGGAGCGAAAGCAUGGGGAGCGAACAGGAUUAGAUACCCUGGUAGUCCAUGCCGUAAACGUUGGGCGCUAGAUGUAGGGACCUUUCCACGGUUUCUGUGUCGUAGCUAACGCAUUAAGCGCCCCCGCUGGGGAGUACGGCCGCAAGGCUAAAACUCAAAGGAAUUGACGGGGGCCCGCACAAGCGGCGGAGCAUGCGGAUUAAUUCGAUGCAACGCGAAGAACCUUACCAAGGCUUGACAUACACCGGAAACGGCCAGAGAUGGUCGCCCCCUUGUGGUCGGUGUACAGGUGGUGCAUGGUUGUCGUCAGCUCGUGUCGUGAGAUGUUGGGUUAAGUCCCGCAACGAGCGCAACCCUCGUUCUAUGUUGCCAGCGGGUUAUGCCGGGGACUCAUAGGAGACUGCCGGGGUCAACUCGGAGGAAGGUGGGGAUGACGUCAAAUCAUCAUGCCCCUUAUGUCUUGGGCUUCACGCAUGCUACAAUGGCCGGUACAAAGGGCUGCGAUACCGUAAGGUGGAGCGAAUCCCAAAAAGCCGGUCUCAGUUCGGAUU